rnacentral:rRNA from 1 species
UACGUAGGGUGCAAGCGUUAUCCGGAAUUAUUGGGCGUAAAGAGCUCGUAGGCGGUUUGUCGCGUCUGCUGUGAAAACUGGGGGCUCAACCCCCAGCCUGCAGUGGGUACGGGCAGACUAGAGUGCGGUAGGGGAGAUUGGAAUUCCUGGUGUAGCGGUGGAAUGCGCAGAUAUCAGGAGGAACACCGGUGGCGAAGGCGGUUCUCUGGGCCUUACCUGACGCUGAGGAGCGAAAGCGUGGGGAGCGAACAGG